GCUCAUUCCAAGUUGCAGGGAACCCUUGGGAACCCCCUAGUAAAUCACUUUUAGAAAGAAGUUGCAGUUCAUUGCACCAACUGAAGCUAUGAGUGUCGAUAUUAUACCAUGAGGCACAUGCAUAGAAUCAUAUCCGCAAACAUUGUUGACUCAUGGGAUAUGAUUUUCAAUGACACAUCUCCAAUGGAUCAAGGAGUCUUGAAGGAAGU